GGUCUAGGCAACUGGUAUGCUGUUUUAUCUUAUGAUGCAUCUGUCCGCCUAUGCCUCCACUCGUGGGCAAGGAGCUAUAUGAGAGCUCCUCCCUUUUUGGAAAAUGAAUGUUCACUGCUGAGGGAUGUAUUAGGUUAAGAAAUAUAUUAUUAAAAUCAGAGGAAAAGCUGACGAGGAAAGAUCAUUCUGAACUUGUGGGUGAAGGCGCUUACGUAAAGUCUAAGAAAACCAUCGGGAAGAUUAGAGUUCAAGUUCGUAAUGUGAAAAUGGGGACGAAGCAACCCACUGGUUUCACGUUUACAUCUUUAAAGUCUUCAUCCACGGUGAAGCUGGAAACAUUUCAGCAAAGGUUAUCAAAUGUGAAAUUGGUUGUUUCAUCCAACAAAAAGAAACAAAAAAAAGAAAAAAAAGAAAAAAAGAAAAAAAGGAAAAAAUGAAAAAGAGAAAAAAAAGAAAAAAAUAAAAAAAAUCUGACAUUGUAAGAGGCUCUCUUUAUUGCAUAGAAGCGUUGCACACUUAAUUGUUGGGACUCGUGGAUACUUGAAAGAAGUACCCAUGCUCAUAAAGCGCAUCAACUUAUGAAUUGGUGCAAGAAUCAUAUUCUUGUAUGUUGAGAUUGAAAAGUUCGUCCGAAGAGGAUGCAUUGGGAAUGCAACCGGGACCUGGUGAAGCUCGUGUUUUAUAUCUUGCCAGGUGGAUUUGGAGAUGAUCUGAAUCUGAAUUAUAUUGUGGGCAUGUUCUUGUUCAGGUGGCUGACAUUUCUGAUGAAUUGGGGAAGAAGCGUCGUCAGUGUGUUAUAUCCGGGGAAAAAGAGCAUGAAAAAGCUGAGAAAAAUACAGCUAUACAUCAACUACUCAACCACUGCAGAUAAAGAUAGUUACAAGUGCAUAUCUGUAGCAGAAACUAUCGCUUAAGACUGUGUUUUGGAGACUGCGAUGAAAGGCCAACAGUUUCAGCACAGAAACUUGUUGCUACAUGGUUCGUGGAAAUGGUUGGUGGAUUCAUUUGCAUCUUUUCUGGAGUUUUAGAUGCAUACACAAAGCUCAGAUACCUUUCAUACGUUAUGGAUAUCUCCACAGCAACAGUAGAUUAUCUUGAUUUGGUGCACGACAUUCUGCUGCCCGUGGUAAUCAAAGACAAAAGUAAGCACACAUUGAGUCACUAAGAGGCCAGUUUUCUGGGAGAAGUUUCUGUUUCUGUUCAAAUUGAGCAGAUACUCACUCUGGUCUUCGAGAAUUUCAAGUAACUUGAUGAAUCAUCGAUGUCGGGUAUUAAAGAUGUAUUCGGACCUGCAACAGGAUUGGCUGCACCUGCACUUGAUCCAGCUUUGUAGCUCUACAAAUGGUUGCAUGCUAUUCUUUCCCCGAGAUUGCUACGAGAAAAAGGUCAAUCAGGCACUUGUUUGAAAUUGAUAAGUUCUUUUCGACUAAUAACGAAAACAUGUUAUUGGAUCCCGUGGCUGUCUCCACAGCAUAUAUGAAAGGAAAAACUAAUGCAUGGGUCUCAAGAUGUGAAGGUAGCAGUGAAAAACAAAGUUCCUCUUGUAAGGUCGUUGACUUGAGCUGUGUUACAUUCUGUAUUGAAACAAGUAACACAGCGACCAUACCUAAGGUUCACGAGGAAUAUGUUCCCUCAUUUAUUUUGGAGUGGUCUAGGCAACUGGUAUGCUGUUUUAUCUUAUGAUGCAUCUGUCCGCCUAUGCCUCCACUCGUGGGCAAGGAGCUAUAUGAGAGCUCCUCCCUUUUUGGAAAAUGAAUGUUCACUGCUGAGGGAUGUAUUAGGUUAAGAAAUAUAUUAUUAAAAUCAGAGGAAAAGCUGACGAGGAAAGAUCAUUCUGAACUUGUGGGUGAAGGCGCUUACGUAAAGUCUAAG